rnacentral:rRNA from 1 species
GAACACGGAGCUUGCUCUGUGGGAUCAGUGGCGAACGGGUGAGUAACACGUGAGCAACCUGCCCCUGACUCUGGGAUAAGCGCUGGAAACGGCGUCUAAUACUGGAUAUGUGACGUGACCGCAUGGUCUGCGUCUGGAAAGAAUUUCGGUUGGGGAUGGGCUCGCGGCCUAUCAGCUUGUUGGUGAGGUAAUGGCUCACCAAGGCGUCGACGGGUAGCCGGCCUGAGAGGGUGACCGGCCACACUGGGACUGAGACACGGCCCAGACUCCUACGGGAGGCAGCAGUGGGGAAUACUGCACAAUGGGCGCAAGCCUGAUGCAGCAACGCCGCGUGAGGGACGACGGCCUUCGGGUUGUAAACCUCUUUUAGCAGGGAAGAAGCGAAAGUGACGGUACCUGCAGAAAAAGCGCCGGCUAACUACGUGCCAGCAGCCGCGGUAAUACGUAGGGCGCAAGCGUUAUCCGGAAUUAUUGGGCGUAAAGAGCUCGUAGGCGGUUUGUCGCGUCUGCUGUGAAAUCCGGAGGCUCAACCUCCGGCCUGCAGUGGGUACGGGCAGACUAGAGUGCGGUAGGGGAGAUUGGAAUUCCUGGUGUAGCGGUGGAAUGCGCAGAUAUCAGGAGGAACACCGAUGGCGAAGGCAGAUCUCUGGGCCGUAACUGACGCUGAGGAGCGAAAGGGUGGGGAGCAAACAGGCUUAGAUACCCUGGUAGUCCACCCCGUAAACGUUGGGAACUAGUUGUGGGGUCCAUUCCACGGAUUCCGUGACGCAGCUAACGCAUUAAGUUCCCCGCCUGGGGAGUACGGCCGCAAGGCUAAAACUCAAAGGAAUUGACGGGGACCCGCACAAGCGGCGGAGCAUGCGGAUUAAUUCGAUGCAACGCGAAGAACCUUACCAAGGCUUGACAUAUACGAGAACGGGCCAGAAAUGGUCAACUCUUUGGACACUCGUAAACAGGUGGUGCAUGGUUGUCGUCAGCUCGUGUCGUGAGAUGUUGGGUUAAGUCCCGCAACGAGCGCAACCCUCGUUCUAUGUUGCCAGCACGUAAUGGUGGGAACUCAUGGGAUACUGCCGGGGUCAACUCGGAAGAAGGUGGGGGAUGACGUCAAAUCAUCAUGCCCC